UGAGGAAUAUUGGUCAAUGGGCGGAAGCCUGAACCAGCCAUGCCGCGUGAGGGAAUGAGGCCCUACGGGUCGUAAACCUCUUUUGCCGGGGGAUAACGGGCGCCACGAGUGGCGCCGUGAAGGUACCCGGAGAAUAAGCAUCGGCUAACUCCGUGCCAGCAGCCGCGGUAAUACGGAGGAUGCGAGCGUUAUCCGGAUUUAUUGGGUUUAAAGGGUGCGCAGGCGGGCGCCUAAGUCAGCGGUGAAAGUUCCCGGCUCAACCGGGUCAGUGCCGAUGAUACUGGGGGCCUUGAAUGCGGUCGAGGCCGGCGGAAUGUGGCGUGUAGCGGUGAAAUGCAUAGAUAUUGCGCAGAACUCCGAUUGCGAAGGCAGCGUACCGGCGCCCGACUGACGCUGAGGCACGAAAGCGUGGGGAUCGAACA
rnacentral:rRNA from 1 species